rnacentral:misc_RNA from 1 species
UAAUCUCAAUUCCCUCAGGUUUUUGUAAUGAAAGUCUGCUCGGGUGAAUUGGAAUUGGAGGUUUUAUGCAGGUCCCCCUCUACUAUUGGGAAGGGAUCAGCUCCUCUUAAAUACAUUAAGCUGGAGAAUGUAAGCAACAGGACUCUUUAGCACUGUUCAUCUGUUAUGGUGUAAUAAAUGUUCCAUCAUAGCAUUUUUGGGUGAAUUAGUGUGCAUGACUGGAGUUCUGUUGUGAGCUUGCUCUGCUUCUAAAUCAUCUUAUUUGACU